AAAAAACGCACAGUUAGGUGGGACAAGAAAAACCCCUAAUCAUAUUUUGAAUUUCAAACCCACUCUCAGAUGAUAACCAGGAUCUCGGUCUGCUCUCUCUCUCUCUCCAUCAUUAAACCGAAGAAGAAAAAGAGCAUCAGUUUUUCCAGAUUAGAUCUGAAGACAUGGACAACGCUAUGGAAGGCAACACAGACGGUGGACAACGACCAGCGUUAUGGAAGGCAACACAGACGUGGACAACGACCAGCGUUAUGGAAGGCAACACAGACGUGGACAACGACCAGGGCUGCUACUAUGAUGUCAUCAUUUGCCGACCAUAGCUUCUCAAACGGCUGUAUAUUGGUGAAGAGAUUAACACAAGACAAUCUGACACAUCAGCUUCCACGCCAUCAUUUUGACCCGGUAAACAGUGAUGCAGAUUAGCAUGGAGGUUGUCUGACAAGAACUCACACUUUGAAUCCUUUUAGGGAGAAGGCAGGAAAUCCGAUGGUGAAGACGGAUUGGGCAAGCUAUAAACGGAGGUAAUGAUUCGGCUAGAACUUUCCAUACGGUGGUGACGAUGGUGGUCCUUAAGAAUCACGUAAACAUUAUCGAUAGAUUCCAAGGGUUCCGGCGAAGACGAUGGUCCGCUUUCCGACAAUGGUUUCGACACCUCUGAUGAACUCCGGUGGAGGAGACUAGGGUUUCGUUGAAGCUGAAGGAGCAGCAUAUAGUGUAUUUACAAGAGUUGAUGUUGAUGAAAAUGAGGAAGGAUUUGGUGAUAUCGACAAUGAGUUUGAUCUAUCAAAUGGUGUUUCUGACUCGCUUCUUUCUACACACCUUGAUUAUAGGCGGUGACCAUAUAAUGCAUACGAUUUUCCCACUUCAUGGUCAAGAGGAAAACACAUGUUAUGCAGACUAUUCAAUAUCUCUUGGAACAUCUUAAGUGGACCUGGCAAACGGGUCGGGUCGGGUCAUGAGUCAAAACAGAUUCGGGUCAAAACGGGGUAAUUAAAAAGGGGUUGUUUUGGUUCGGGUCGAAACGGGUUCCGGUCGGAACGGUUAAAAAUGUUUUUUUAAACAGAUUGUACAUCGAGGGUCAAUUUUGUUCGGUUCGAAACGGUACUGGUCGAAACGGUCCGCGUCGAAACGGUUCGAUUCGAAACGGUACGGGUGAUCACUUCAACCAUAGAGACGAGCCGGUUCACGGUGGGCCAGUUUAUAUAUGGAUCCAAUAUGUAUCUACAAGAAAGGAUAUUGAGAUGGAUUAGAGAAGAGGAAGAGUGGUUAGCAGCUAAUAAUGGCACAUCUGUAAAAUGUGUAAUCAUUGAUAUGACUGGCGUAUGCACGAAUAGGCAUGGCUUAAGACGCUGCAAAAGCUGCAUCACAGAGUAAAGAUGGAGAGUUGUUGGAGCGCCUUAAAAACACUUGGCAACAGGGUCUCUGAAGAAGAGGUGUUUACAAGGAAGAUGAGUCAUGUGAUACGAUUAUAACAAGCAUCAGAAGAAGAUAUGGCGCUGCUAAAAGUUUUAAGUUCUUUUCAAACUUUAGUAAAAAUAGGGAUGACAAAAGAUCUGUGUCAAUCUUCCCAAUUUCAUCUUGUUUAAAUUCAAGAAGAUUGGAACUUGAGGCAAAAAGAAGAAUACGUGUAGCAACAUCUAAGUUGCUAAGUUGCUAAGUUGCUGGCUAGGGGCACUCAAAAUAAGCAUCUGAGUGCUUGUGUAUAUUUCAUCGGAUGAUGGAGUCGUUUGCUUCUGUACAUUACAAGUGCGUGUAGCAAAAAAUUACAUGCAAGCAAAACUUAAUUGAAAACAUGUUUUUAUACUUCAUAACUACAUACUUAGGCGGUCAAACUUCUCCUUUUUAAACAUAUCCUCUUGCAUGUGAUGAACACCAAUCGUACUUGUGCUUGAUGAUUUAUCUUACAUUUCCUA